UUACAUUCUCAUGGUGCUGUAGG
rnacentral:piRNA from 1 species